UAGGUGCUAAUACCGCAUAAGCGCACGGGGCUGCAUGGCCCAGUGUGAAAAACUCCGGUGGUACAAGAUGGACCCGCGUCUGAUUAGCUUGUUGGCGGGGUAACGGCCCCCCAAGGCGACGAUCAGUAGCCGGCCUGAGAGGGUGGACGGCCACAUUGGGACUGAGACACGGCCCAAACUCCUACGGGAGGCAGCAGUGGGGAAUAUUGGACAAUGGGGGGAACCCUGA
rnacentral:rRNA from 1 species